GACGAACCGUGCGAACGUUGUUCGGAAUCACUGGGCUUAAAGGGCGCGUAGGCGGGCUCGCAAGUCCGGGGUGAAAGCCCCCAGCUCAACUGGGGAAGUGCCUUGGAUACUGCGGGCCUCGAGGGAGGUAGGGGCGUGCGGAACUUCCGGUGGAGCGGUGAAAUGCGUAGAUAUCGGAAGGAACAUCGGUGGCGAAAGCGGCGCGCUGGACCUCUUCUGACGCUGAGGCGCGAAAGCGUGGGGAGCGAACAGG
rnacentral:rRNA from 1 species